AAUAAGUAAAGUUAUUCACUGUUCAUAUUCAACAUUUAAUCAUUUAUCUUAUUUUAUUUUUUUAUAAAUAAUAUUUUUUUAUUAUUAGAUGAUAAAAUAUGAAUAGUACUUUAUAUGUGACUAAUUUUUUUAAUCUUUUCAUAAAUUACGGACGGUCAAAUAUUAGAUAUGGAAAUCCACGACUGUACUUAUU
rnacentral:pre_miRNA from 1 species